rnacentral:rRNA from 1 species
AUUCCAGCUCCAAUAGCGUAUAUUAAAGUUGUUGCAGUUAAAAAGCUCGUAGUUGAAUUUCUGGUGGGAGUGUACAGUCCGACACUGAGUGUUGGUUCUUGUGUGUCUCCGGCCAUCCUUGGAGUGAAUCUGUCUGGCAUUUAGUUGUUGGGCAGAGUAUCUCCAUCGUUUACUGUGAGGAAAGGAAAGUGUUCAAAGCAGGCUUACGCCGUUGAAUCUUUUAGCAUGGAAUAAUAAGAUACGACUUUGGUCUAUUUUGUUGGUUUGCAUUCCAAAGUAAUGAUUAAUAGGGAUAGUUGGGGGUAUUCGUAUUCAAUUGUCAGAGGUGAAAUUCUUGGAUUUAUGGAAGACGAACUACUGCGAAAGCAUUUACCAAGGAUGUUUUCAUCA